rnacentral:rRNA from 1 species
AGUGAACGCUGGCGGUAGGCCUAACACAUGCAAGUCGAACGGCAGCACAGUAAGAGCUUGCUCUUACGGGUGGCGAGUGGCGGACGGGUGAGGAAUACAUCGGAAUCUACUUUUUCGUGGGGGAUAACGUAGGGAAACUUACGCUAAUACCGCAUACGACCUACGGGUGAAAGCAGGGGAUCUUCGGACCUUGCGCGAUUGAAUGAGCCGAUGUCGGAUUAGCUAGUUGGCGGGGUAAAGGCCCACCAAGGCGACGAUCCGUAGCUGGUCUGAGAGGAUGAUCAGCCACACUGGAACUGAGGCACGGUCCAGACUCCUACGGGAGGCAGCAGUGGGGAAUAUUGGACAAUGGGCGCAAGCCUGAUCCAGCCAUACCGCGUGGGUGAAGAAGGCCUUCGGGUUGUAAAGCCCUUUUGUUGGGAAAGAAAAGCAGCAGGUUAAUACCCCGCUGUUCUGACGGUACCCAAAGAAUAAGCCCCGGCUAACUUCGUG